GCACCUGCUGCUUCUCCCUGUGGUUCUGCUGCCUCCGCUCCUCUCUGCGCAGGCUCACGUUCUGCCCAGCGAAUGACGUUCUUUCUUAAAGGCCCAACCGCUCAGCGAUGACUCCAGAUAGAUUCCUUAACUGAACUUCAGCGGCUGCCUGCCGUUCAGACCUCUAAGACAUCGUCUUUUUGAAGACUUCUACCAACAGAUCUCGCUGAGAAACAAUAUGAAAUAAAAAAUACUUUUUCCUCUAGGAUUUUUUUAGUAACCCAAGGGUGCUGUGUUUUCUUCUUGGUCUGCGUGAUAAGAAGAGUAACAGCUAAGGACAGUAGCACACAUGUGUAAUUCCAGAGGCUAAAGCAGGAGGAUUGCAAACUUGAGUAGAGCCUGGGCAAUUUAGAAGCUUAGCAAGACCCUGUCUCAAAACAGAAAACAGAAGAAGGAAGAGAUACCACACAGCAAUUACCUCUUAUGAAACUACUUUUUGGUAUAGAUGCUAAAGAAAACUAUUCACAAUUCUCUGGAAAUACUGAAAUGUUCUUCUUUUUGCCAAAAGCAUAUCCUUAGGAGGUCAAAUCUUCUUUAUAUUUCAACCAAAAAUAGCAGAUUGGAAGCAAAACCAGGGCCUGGUACAUGCUAGGAAAGCACUAUACCAUAGAGCUGUGCCCCCAGCCCUCAUGCUUUAAUACAAUCACCUGUGCCAUUGUCUCGAGAGGUGCCUGGAGGAGGUGAGAGAUUUGUUAGAAAGACUGUGUUGAUAGAUGAUGGUGGAUUUAAGCAGGCUGGAGCAAUGGAAGAGGAGUUAACAAUAUAACCACAAGCCUGGAUGUCACUUCAAGGAGUCCUAGUCCACCUUCCCACCCAGCCUUCCACCAACUCUGAGCAACCGGAAAAGGAAGUGUUAUUGCUCAGUGUCCUUGUCGGGGCUUUCUAGCUGACAGUCAGAGAUAAAGGAGCGGGUGAAUUAUUAUUUGCUAGUUAAGGAAAUUCAUCACAAUGAUUCUUCUUCUUAUGGAAAAGGAACAAGCCUGGUGCUGAGUACAGUGGCAAAUCUGAUCUGAAGUUACCUUAGAAGACCAAUCAUUGCAGGAAUAUCCAUACUGACUUAAAAUUGAUCAAAGACCUAGUUAUAAGACCUGAAACUUUGAUACUGCUAGAAGAAAACAUAAAGGGAAUACCUGAAGUAAUAGGCCCAAGUAAAACUUUCUGAAUAGAACUCCAACAGCACAGGAAAUAAUAACAAAAAUCAAUAAAUGCACAGUAAAGGAAGCAAUCAACAGAAUGAAGACUAAUCAACAGAAUGAAGAGUAAAGGAAGCAAUCAACAGAAUGAAGAGCAGAAUGAAGAGCAAUCCCAUUACAGAAUGGGAGCAAAUCUUUGCCAGCUACUCUUCUGACAGAGAAUCAGUCUCUAGAAUACAUAAAGAACUAAAAAAGCUUAACACCAAAAAUAUCCCAACCAAUAAAUGGGCAAAUAAAUGGACACUUUUCAAAUAAGUACAAAUGGCCAAUAAGUGUACACUUCCCUUUUAGUCCUCAGGGUCUCCUACAACUUUAAAAAAAACUAACAAAUUCAAGGUGGAGUUUAAAAGGCAUGUGAGAAAAUUAAGGGCAAGGAGGUCCAGGAGAGGUAUAUGUAUUUAGAAAUUGGCCUGCCCUCGCAUCAUGCUUAUCAACUUGUGAAACCUCCUACAACCUGUUAUUGUGACCCUGGAACAGAGCUGAUGAUCCAUCCCAUAGUGAGAAAUAAAAUGCCUAAUUCUUGAUCUGCACUUGUGCAGUUCCUGUCAGGCCUUGGAUGUCCUUAGGACACAGUUACAUCCUUCUUUUUGUACCC